GGGACCGUAGCUCAGUUUGGUCCAGAGCAUUCGGUUGUGAUCCGAAAGGUCGAGGGUUCGAUUCCCUCCGGUCCCCCCU
rnacentral:tRNA from 1 species